rnacentral:rRNA from 1 species
UGACCGUGGCCCAAGUAGCAUAAUCAUUUGUCUUUUAAUUAAAGGCUUGUAUGAAUGGUUGGAUGAGAUAUAAUCUAUUUUUAUUUAAUUAAAAAUGAAUUUUAAUUUUUAGUAAAAAUGCUAAAAUAAAAAAUAUAGACGAGAAGACCCUAUAAAUCUUUAUUAUUUUUUUAUUAAUUUAUUAAUAGAAGAAAAAAUUUAUUAUUAGAAAAAUAAUUUUAUUGGGGUGAUAAUGAAAUUUAAUAAACUUUUAUUUUAUUUUAUAAAUAUAAUUAAUUUAAUGAUCCAUUUUUAAUGAUUAUAAAAUUAAGUUACUUUAGGGAUAACAGCGUAAUUAUUUUAAAGAGUUCAUAUCGAUAAAAUAGUUUGCGACCUCGAUGUUGAAUUAAGAGUAAGUUUAGGUGUAGAAGAUA